rnacentral:tmRNA from 1 species
GGGGACGUAAAGGUUUCGACUGUGUAUUAGAAGUUAUUUGUGCAAGGCAGAGGGCAGCGUGGCUCUGUAAAAACGCUGGAAUUAAUAAGUGCCAACACUGACACUUUUUCUGAUUACGCCUUAGCUGCAUAAUCCGGGGCUGCUGGAAGCCUUGUUAACAAAGACCAGCAAAACUCGAUUGGCCUUCGAGUAAAUAGGG